rnacentral:tRNA from 2 species
UGGGGAAUAGUGUAAUGGUAGCACGACUGACUCUGGAUCAGUUAGUCGGGGUUCGAGUCCCUGUUCCCCAG